GAUGAACGCUGGCGGGUCUAGACUUAAACACAUGCAAGUCGAGACGGAAAGUCUUUCGGACUUUAGCGGCGGACGGGUGAGUAACGCGUGAGAAUCUGCCCUCAGGACUGGGACAACAGUUGGAAACGACUGCUAAUACCGGAUGUGCCUACGGGUGAAACAUUUAUGGGUCUGGGGAUGAGCUCGCGUUCUAGAUUAGCUAGUUGGAGUGGUAACGGCACACCAAGGCAAUGAUCUGUAGCUGGUCUGAGAGGAUGAUCAGCCACACUGGGAACUGAGAGACGGUCCAGACUCCUACGGGAGGCAGCAGUGGGGAAUUUUCCGCAAUGGGCGAAAGCCUGACGGAGCAAGACCGCGUGGGGGAGGAA
rnacentral:rRNA from 1 species